CGGACGGGUGAGUAACGCGUGGGUAACCUGCCUCAUACAGGGGGAUAACGGUUAGAAAUGACUGCUAAUACCGCAUAAGCGCACAGUACCGCAUGGUACGGUGUGAAAAACUCCGGUGGUAUGAGAUGGACCCGCGUCUGAUUAGCUAGUUGGUAAGGUAGCGGCUUACCAAGGCGACGAUCAGUAGCCGACCUGAGAGGGUGACCGGCCACAUUGGGACUGAGACACGGCCCAA
rnacentral:rRNA from 1 species